rnacentral:misc_RNA from 1 species
UAAAGUUCUAAAUUGUUUUUAUUUCUGCUUUGCAACUUUAAUUGAUUUUUAUAUUUGUCUGUAUUUUUUGCCAUAGCUUAUUGAUGACAUAAUUUUAAUAACUGAAUAUAACAAAAUAAGUUAUAGGAAAAUAUCAUUAUCAUUUUAGUGUCCUUGUUUCUUUCCUUGUAUGGGCUGGAUGUUUCUUAUAAUGCAGUGUCUCUAACAUACACUUUACCAUUUUUUUUCCUGAAAUGUAGCUUUUUCAAAUCAUCUGAAACUCACUCUUUCCAAGUUUUUAUGUUUCUACCUCUACCUUUUUCUCCUGAAACUUUUUACAUGUUGAUAACUUUUUACAUGUUGAUAACCAGUCAUCUGCACUUUUUUACAUGUUGAUAACCAGUCAUCCUUACGCUCUACAUGCUCAAACCACCUCAAUCUUCCCUGAUGCACCCUAUCAGAUACACUCACCAUGCCUAAUCUUUUUCUUAAAUCAUCACUGCUUUUCUUGUCUUUUAGAGUCACACUGCACAUCCUUCUAAUCAUCACCCUUUCUAUCCUUUCCAAAUGCUGAACAUCAUCAAUCUUGAUUGCUUUUAGUUUCUUUUUCAUUCAAUUAAUUCUUAGUAGCCCCUCCCCCUCCCCUCUUUAAUGAUAGAGACCUAACUCUGACUUACUCUGAAGCAAACCUUACUCUUGCCCUAGAUGCUUCUUCUGCUCUUCCAGCUGAUCCAAUUGUAUCUCCAAGAUAAAAAAAAAUGUAAUAACACUACUCUUUUUAUUUCAACCACUUUUUUAACUUACUCUAUACUCACCAAAAAUACAUUUUCUACACUCAAAAUCAACAAUCUUAAAAGAGCCUUGUACCACAUCUCUUAUGAACCAAUUGCCUACAAACUGUCUAAAUAAUAAAAUUUUCUCUAACUCCAUACCUACACACUCCACAUGCCACUCCACUUCCUAGUAUUUUUUGCUUGUUUAUUCUUGACUGUACAGUGCAUAACUUUUGUUUUAUUCAUGUUUAUCUUGAGGCCUUUAGCUUCAAUUCCAUCUUUCCAAAUUUCAAAUCUUAAUACUAAUUCCUCUUCUGUUUCUGUUUUCUGCUAUCAGACACAAAUUAUCUGCACAGAAUAACUCCCACGGUAAACAAACUCUGAACUCUUUAGAGAGAGCUUCUAAAACAAUAAUAAAAAGCAAAGAACUAAGUACUGAACCCUGAUGCACAUUAACUUUUACUUCAAAACUAUCAUUCUGUCAAUCUCUUGUUUUGAUUGUUGUUGUGACAUUUUCAUACAUAGCCAUGAUGACUGCCACUAGCCAUUCUUGAAUACAUAAACACUAACAAUUAUAAAUUAAUACUUCUAUGCAAUGUUGUUAUUUAAAAGAACUAUUUCUGCGAUACAUCAUAAAUCAUGAUGAGAGAAGAAAAAUAUUAGUAGCUUGCCAUGUUCAUCCUACUUCUGGCUAUAUGGGUAAAACAAGGACAUUAGGCAGAGUAAAAGAGCGUUUCAUGUGGCACGGAAUGGUAAAAAUGUCCAUAAGUUGGUAAUUUACAUUUUGCAUUAUUAUGCGUUAGAGUAAAUACAAAAAAUUUUGAUUUUCCCUAAUAAUUUAUAAUAAAGUAUUGCUAUACCAUUCUAUUUUGUUUCAGCUUAUAUCAUGUGAUGUAUGCCAGAGAAUGAAUAGAAAGUUAAACUGUGGAAAACCAGAGAUGCACCCAAUUAAGUAGGUUGAAGUAAUAGCCACUAAAGACAAAAUGGCAGUUACAGCGGCAGGAUGUCUGUUCAAGAUAAAGUUGUAUCCUUGAAAGAUCUGCUGGUAUUAUUGACACAAUGGGCAAACAUUGAAGUGCAUCUUGGUGAACUGCAUAACACAUCAAAUUCAGUUAUAAAAGUUUAAGUAACAAAGGUAUGCUAAUUAUUGUAUUGCCUGAAAGAGUGCCACCGCCAUUAAAAGCAGCAAAGAAUUCAAGUACUCUGGAAGAAAAAGGACAAGAAAAUACUUAAGUAAAUGGUCAAUUAUUUGGCACAAAUUGGAGUUAAAGACGAAGGAGAUUGUAUAUGUUAUUUACUAAGAAUAGUUUUUUAAAAUGGUCUAGCUGUAAAAUUAAACUAUGCAGGGAGAGGACAAAAACUUGGAAUAGGAAAAAUGUUCAUUGCAUAUGUUGCUAUUGAAACUGUGAAGUCAAAUAAGCAUGGCUUAUGCAGUCCUGUGAUAGAGAUAGUG